rnacentral:snoRNA from 1 species
CUUGAGGGCCAUCCCAGUGAUGCUUCUUCUAUAGACCCGCAUCACUGGAAACAUCUCGUGAAGUAACUAUAUGGUUUCCUUUCCUCACAGAACUACAUGCUAGAUCUCUGGGCAAGAACUCCAAGACAGAG